AUACAGAGGGAGCGAGCGUUAAUCGGAAUUACUGGGCGUAAAGCGCGCGUAGGCGGCUUAUUAAGUCAGAUGUGAAAUCCCCGGGCUCAACCUGGGAACUGCAUCUGAUACUGGUAAGCUAGAGUUUUGGAGAGGGAAGUAGAAUUUCAGGUGUAGCGGUGAAAUGCAUAGAGAUCUGAAGGAAUACCAGUGGCGAAGGCGACUUCCUGGCCUAAAACUGACGCUGAGGUGCGAAAGCGUGGGUAGCAAACGGGAUUAGAAACCCGAGUAGUCC
rnacentral:rRNA from 1 species